rnacentral:tRNA from 1 species
GGAUUGUGGCUCAGCGGUAGAGCACUCCCAUAGCAUGGGUGGGACCCGGGUUCGAUUCUCAGCACCA